rnacentral:lncRNA from 1 species
UUAAUAGAAAAAAUUCUAACUUUUUUAUUUACCAAACAUUCUACUAAUAAGAGUAGAAUAAGAAAAAUAAUAUUAGCGGUGUAUUAAUGAAGGGAUAGUGCAAAGCAUCAAUGUAUAAUUUGUUAGGGAACAUUUGGUUCGGCAUGAAACGAACUGGCAAAAUUAUUCUUGGUAUAAAAAUAUUGUUUCAUUUGUUUGGUUUGACGUAAAAUUAGUUUACACUUUUAUACAAAAAAAUGAACGUGUUUGUUUUUCGUUUUUUUUUUGACAGAAAACUAAAACUCAAACUCAAAUCGUGUAAAAUAUUUCCUCAUUCAUUUUUUUACCUCCGAAUCAUAUAAAUGUGAAUUUUUUUUCUUUCAAACAAACAAAUAUUGAUUGCAAUUAUUUUUUUUUUCUACAAAUCAAACACUGUAACGCAUAAAAUGUAUUUUUUACCGAGUUUUUUUUAUAAAAAAUUAAUUUUUACGAUUUUACAUCGAACCAAACAGACCCUUACGAGUAGGAUUCAACUAAUAAAUAGGUGAAUAUAAUGGAUUAUAUUAUUGGAGUGGUGGGUUGUUGGUUAGGAAUAGGAGAAGUAUUAUGAAAGAAUAGAUGAUGGUGUUGGUGGUAAUUUUGUGUGUGUGUGUGGUUGAAGAACUGUUCAGGGAGAGAAAAAGUGGGGAAAGAUUAAUGAUUAGAUUGAAGGAAAAAA